CGGAACGUGCCUAGUAGUGGGGGAUAACUACUCGAAAGAGUAGCUAAUACCGCAUGAGAUCUAAGGAUGAAAGCAGGGGACCUUCGGGCCUUGCGCUACUAGAGCGGCUGAUGGCAGAUUAGGUAGUUGGUGGGAUAAAAGCUUACCAAGCCGACGAUCUGUAGCUGGUCUGAGAGGACGACCAGCCACACUGGGACUGAGACACGGCCCAGACUCCUACGGGAGGCAGCAGUGGGGAAUUUUGGACAAUGGGCGAAACCCUGAUCCAGCCAUCCCGCGUGUGCGAUGAAGGCCUUCGGGUUGUAAAGCACUUUUGGCAGGAAAGAAAUGGCGUGUGUUAAUACCAUGCGCAGAUGACGGUACCUGCAGAAUAAGCACCGGCUAACUACGUGCCAGCAGCCGCGGUAAUACGUAGGGUGCAAGCGUUAAUCGGAAUUACUGGGCGUAAAGCGUGCGCAGGCGGUUCGGAAAGAAAGAUGUGAAAUCCCAGGGCUCAACCUUGGAACUGCAUUUUUAACUACCGGACUAGAGUAUGUCAGAGGGAGGUGGAAUUCCACGU
rnacentral:rRNA from 1 species